CAGUAUAUGGGUCGGAGCAUAAAGGAUUGACCGUAAUACAAUCGCACACAGCCGAUACAAAACGGUUCAAACACAUAGUCGUCCAAAUCGGCCAAUGUAUUCAUUCGGUACGGGCGAUGGAUUACACGGCCGACAAAACACAAGUCGCCCUUAGAACAAAAAAUACAAUAACUAAUUAUUUUUCUUCUUGCGCUCCCUCUCAGCCCGGCCUAAUUCUAUCAUACGACGGAUGUACUCCUCGUCCAUCUCCGAA
rnacentral:lncRNA from 1 species